AUGCCGUCCCCGGCCCCGGCGCUGCCCCGGGGAGGGCCGUGCCCUCGUCCGCCCACGUGCGGGAGCCGCGCGGUCCCCUGCGGCCGGCACAGCCCCCGCCGUGGUGGUGGUGCCGGCGGGAGGGCCCCUCCAGCGCCGUGGCGGCCGUUCCCCGCGGCGGGGCCGGGUCGAGGCGGCCCAGAGCGGCAGCGCGCGCUGCGGGAGCCGCCCCGAGGGAGCGCCGCCUCCUGCUCAGGCAGCCACGUGCCGAGCGCGGCGCUUCGCGGGGCCGCGGGGCUCUCCUCGGGUGAGCCGCGCUCUCCGUGGGUGUCGGCUUCCACAGAGGGCGCGUUUCAUCCUCAAACACGGGGGAAAUCCCAGGACUCGCUUGAGCACCGCGGCCGAGGAGCCGCGCCCUGGCUGCCGCCGUGGCCUCGCGUGGACGUCCCCUCCCGGCCUCCCCCCGUGCAGGCGGAACCGCUGCCGCCGGUGCGUGCCCGCCAGGAGCCAACCCCGGAGCACGGCACCAGGCGAGGCGGCGCUGGGCCCGGAGCGCGUGCGGCUGCUGUAUGCUGGCUGCUGGCUGCUGGUUGCUCGCUGCUCGCUGUCCUCGGCGCGUUCGCGGCACGUGCCCUGCAGCCGAUGCGCGGCGCGGCCUCACCGCCCCGUGCUGAGCCCCGCGCGGCCGCGGAGUGCGAGGUGUCUGAGCGCCGUGGAGGUCGGGGGCUGCCCGUGAGACGAACAGCAGCGCCGAGAGGAGGCCGUGAGGCGACGAGGAAGCCAGCUAGCCAGGCGUGGGGACCCGAUGGACACCGAUGGGAUCUGACUACCUGGAGCUGCACAGAAAUGCAGCGUGGCUGCUCCUGGGCCCCAGAUGAGCUCCAGGGGUGGCCGGGAAGCGCAGUCAGGAGGAGCAGAAUGGAGAGCUGCCAUCGUCCUUUCCUGCGCCCUGCUCUGUCGUGCUUAUUCAGGGACACGUGGAGAAGCAGUGAAAGGGCUGUCCAUGCAGUCCUGCCAUCGAGCACAAGAGAAGCUGCCCAGCUCCUGGUGCCGCAGUGUGGGCGUGCUGUAUCUGAGCUUGGGAACCUGGAGCUGGGUGUCAGCAUCAGCCCUGGGCAGGGAUGGGACGGGGACAUCAGUGCACAGCAGGGCAGCCUCCCAUGGUCUCAGAGGGCUGGCAGCCACCAGCAGAGGUACAGAAACGGGGACACAGUGCACUGCUGAUACGCGGCUGAUUCAAUCAAAACUAGGACUGAGCCCUAAACUCUUCCAGGGAGAGACAAUCCACGGAUCAAGCUGUGGCUUCUUUCCUUUCAAAGGUCAGACUUCCAGACAGCUCUGGCUGAUUGUUGCCAAAAUAAAUCGGUCAUUUGCAGUACUCA
rnacentral:lncRNA from 1 species